CCUGGCGGCCGUAGCGCGGUGGUCCCACCUGACCCCAUGCCGAACUCAGAAGUGAAACGCCGUAGCGCCGAUGGUAGUGUGGGGUCUCCCCAUGCGAGA
rnacentral:rRNA from 3 species